ACAUCCAGCGAACUUGGCAGAGAUGCCUUGGUGCCUUCGGGAACGCUGAGACAGGUGCUGCAUGGCUGUCGUCAGCUCGUGUUGUGAAAUGUUGGGUUAAGUCCCGNAACGAGCGCAACCCUUAUCCUUUGUUGCCAGCGAUUCGGUCGGGAACUCAAAGGAGACUGCCGGUGAUAAACCGGAGGAAGGUGGGGAUGACGUCAAGUCAUCAUGGCCCUUACGAGUAGGGCUACACACGUGCUACAAUGGCGCAUACAAAGAGAAGCGACCUCGCGAGAGCAGCGGACCUCAUAAAGUGCGUCGUAGUCCGGAUCGGAGUCUGCAACUCGACUCCGUGAAGUCGGAAUCGCUAGUAAUCGUGGAUCAGAAUGCCACGGUGAAUACGUUCCCGGGCCUUGUACACACCGCCCGUCACACCAUGGGAGUGGGUUGCAAAAGAAGUAGGUAGCUUAACCUUCGGGAGGGCGCUUACCACUUUGUGAUUCAUGACUGGGGUGAAGUCGUAACAAGGUAAGCGUAGCGAG
rnacentral:rRNA from 1 species